AUUGAACGCUGGCGGCAUGCCUUACACAUGCAAGUCGAACGGCAGCACGGGUGCUUGCACCUGGUGGCGAGUGGCGAACGGGUGAGUAAUACAUCGGAACAUGUCCUGUAGUGGGGGAUAGCCCGGCGAAAGCCGGAUUAAUACCGCAUACGAUCUACGGAUGAAAGCGGGGGACCUUCGGGCCUCGCGCUAUCGGGUUGGCCGAUGGCUGAUUAGCUAGUUGGUGGGGUAAAGGCCUACCAAGGCGACGAUCAGUAGCUGGUCUGAGAGGACGACCAGCCACACUGGGACUGAGACACGGCCCAGACUCCUACGGGAGGCAGCAGUGGGGAAUUUUGGACAAUGGGCGAAAGCCUGAUCCAGCAAUGCCGCGUGUGUGAAGAAGGCCUUCGGGUUGUAAAGCACUUUUGUCCGGAAAGAAAUCCUUGGCCCUAAUACGGUCGGGGGAUGACGGUGCCGGAAGAAUAAGCACCGGCUAACUACGUG
rnacentral:rRNA from 1 species